rnacentral:lncRNA from 1 species
UUGGGUGCUCUUCGAGGUCCUCCGUCUGCCUCCUCUUAUAUAUCGUUCGAAGAGGAGAUUCUCUCGAGCGAGCAUAGUUCCCGAUUCCAAAACUCUCCAAAAUCAUUAUUUUCACUAUCCAAUCUAACUCUCUUCAGCUGCGGUCGAUCUCGACCGAAAUCUGGAACAUUUUCUUCGUGGAGAGGACACAGCCUCGGCCCUGAGAAAAUGGCUUGGCUUUGCGUCAAUGGGAGGUUGCUACAGCUG